GAUAGUACGAGAGGAACUCUAAGUGAUGACCACUGGUAGUGCGAUUAACUAUUAAGUUAUGUUGCUUAGCUACGUCAUUUCGAUUAAGGCUGAAAGCCUCUUAAGCCUGAAGCGUAGCUCAAGGAUAUUUUUUUGUAGAAUACUACUCUUUUAAGCAGAACUGUAAGAAUGAAGGUGUAUGCCGACAUUUUGAGGUUACUGCUUUUUUGUUAAUAAAGUAGGUUAAAA
rnacentral:ncRNA from 1 species